rnacentral:piRNA from 1 species
UCUCCUUGCUGAUACAUAGCCUCACUAUGC